rnacentral:rRNA from 1 species
AUAUACGACCGUACCGCAAACCGACACUGGUGCGCGAGAUGAGUAUUCUAAGGCGCUUGAGAGAACUCAGGAGAAGGAACUCGGCAAAUUGACACCGUAACUUCGGAAGAAGGUGUGCCCUAUUAGUGUGUAGUGAACAACGAAGCAUGAAUGGGUUGCAAAAAAUCGGUGGCUGCGACUGUUUAUUAAAAACACAGCACUCUGCAAACACGAAAGUGGACGUAUAGGGUGUGACGCCUGCCCGGUGCUGGAAGAUUAAAUGAUGGGGUGCAAGCUCUUGAUUGAAGUCCCAGUAAACGGCGGCCGUAACAAUAACGGUCCUAAGGUAGCGAAAUUCCUUGUCGGGUAAGUUCCGACCUGCACGAAUGGCGUAACGAUGGCCACACUGUCUCCUCCUGAGACUCAGCGAAGUUGAAAUGUUUGUGAUGAUGCAAUCUCCCCGCGGAAAGACGGAAAGACCCAUGAACCUUUACUGUAGCUUUGUAUUGGACUUUGAACAGAUCUGUGUAGGAUAGGUGGGAGGCUUUGAAGCAGGAUCGCUAGAUCUUGUGGAGCCAACGUUGAAAUACCACCCUGGUGUGUUUGAGGUUCUAACCUAGGUCCAUUAUCUGGAUCGGGGACAGUGCAUGGUAGGCAGUUUGACUGGGGCGGUCUCCUCCCAAAGCGUAACGGAGGAGUUCGAAGGUACGCUAGUUACGGUCGGACAUCGUGACGAUAGUGCAAUGGCAUAAGCGUGCUUAACUGCGAGACUGACAAGUCGAGCAGAUGCGAAAGCAGGACAUAGUGAUCCGGUGGUUCUGUAUGGAAGGGCCAUCGCUCAACGGAUAAAAGGUACUCUGGGGAUAACAGGCUGAUACCGCCCAAGAGUUCAUAUCGACGGCGGUGUUUGGCACCUCGAUGUCGGCUCAUCUCAUCCUGGGGCUGUAGCCGGUCCCAAGGGUAUGGCUGUUCGCCAUUUAAAGAGGUACGUGAGCUGGGUUUAAAACGUCGUGAGACAGUUUGGUCCCUAUCUUCCGUGGGCGCUGCAGAUUUGAGGAAGCCUGCUCCUAGUACGAGAGGACCGGAGUGGACACACCUCUGGUGUAUCGGUUGUCACGCCAGUGGCAUUGCCGAGUAGCUAAGUGUGGAAGAGAUAACCGCUGAAAGCAUCUAAGCGGGAAACUCGUUUCAAGAUGAGAUCUGCCGGGGCCUUGAGCCCCCUAAAGAGUCGUUCAAGACCAGGACGUUGAUAGGUCAGGUGUGGAAGC